GACGAAGGGGGCUAGCGUUGUUCGGAAUUACUGGGCGUAAAGCGCGUGUAGGCGGUUUUUUAAGUCAGGUGUGAAAGCCUUGAGCUCAACUCAAGAAAUGCACUUGAUACUGGAUGACUAGAGGACCGGAGAGGAUAGUGGAAUUCCCAGUGUAGUGGUGAAAUACGUAGAGAUUGGGAAGAACACCAGUGGCGAAGGCGGCUAUCUGGACGGUUUCUGACGCUAAGACGCGAAAGCGUGGGGAGCAAACAGG
rnacentral:rRNA from 1 species